CACUAAGUAAGUAAUUCAACCGAUAAUAUUGUUGAUAAUAUUGUAUCUGUAAAUAUUUACUGCCAAUACAUAAAUUUUUCCAUUUACUUUUUUGCAUUCGUUCAUAUUAAUUACACUCGAUAUCAAUAAAUUUUGCAUCCAUAAGUGAAUGAAAUAAUUUUCAACGGACACAAGAAGACGUUCAUCGUCUAAUAAAAUUGCACGUUUCCUUCAAAUCACGAAGAAUGUAAUGUAAUUUCCUUUAAAAACAACUAGAUUAUACAAUUAGGGCUUAAAUAUAUACUUAAGUCCCUAAUAAUGGGACACUUAUAAUGAAAGAAAAGAUGCUUGCUUCAUCUCGUAAAUUCUAAUAAAAAAAUGGAAAUGGAAAAGUUUAAAGUUCAAAGUUCUAACUAUCUAAAAAAAAUUCCUCCAACGUCUUAAAAAUCUAGAACGAGACCGGAAUUGAACAACGCGAACAAAGCGAUGGGGUCGAUGGCGAUUUCUUUAAUUUAACAAUGGUAUAUUGGCAGUGCUGAUGCGAAAACUGUAACUCCAGGGAAGAACUACGAUCGGUAGAAUCCUCUUUAGAAUGAGAUACGCUGUAAAUGUGGCACGUGCGAAUGAUUUUUACCUUCUAUUCUGCAUUAGAACAAACGUGCGUCUGGAAAACUGGUUUCUCUUCUCUACAAAAUGGGUUCGCCUCGUUCCAUUCUUCUCGUUUCGCUUUCUUUUUUUUUUUUAUCUUCGUCAAUCUUCGAGUUUCUUCAACUAUAUAUAAUCCCUCUUUCUUAGAAUAUUUCGAAAAUGGGACGAAAUUCAUUUCGAGAUGAAAAUCCUUUUUUCUUAAAAAUAAUUUUCAAGUGAAAUCGAAACUUUCCUUAAAUGUAAUACUUUAAGUAUUCAAAAAUUGAAUAUCGUUCCUUUAAAAAUGGAACAAAAGUGUUUAUCUUUAACUUAUUCUUUUUUCCAAACGUGCAGAGUCGCGAACGAAUCACGUAUGAUGGAAAAAACAAUCGUUACAAACAUCUCGUUUCAUCGAUUGAUGAAAAAAAAAAAAAAAAAAAGAAUUUCGAAAAACUUCGAAAUUUCCCAAAUACACAAAUUAAUCGAACACUCGGAAAUUGCUUCCCUUCUUCUAUCUCACAAAUGCGAAAUCGAAGACUUCGCUCCAGAUCUUCUCGAUCUGUUCUUUUUCCUUCCCCUCGUUUUGCUUGCUCCUCGUCGUUAAAUGCGCAAAGUCGCCAAGAGAUCACGUACAACCACGAAACAAUUACGCAAAUUUCCAUUUGUGUUUUACUGUCUGUCAUAAACGAUCCGCAACAUUUGCAUCUAUGUAACGAUUUCUUCUUCCUCGACCUGUUUUAACGCAUUAUUCCAACGCAGAACGAAACGAGGCGAUCCGCGUUUAAAAUCGUUUUCUAGGACCCCCACGACUGCCCACGCUUCUCUCUUUUUCCUUUCUCCAUCCUUAAAUUGCGCAAGGUACUCGUUCUAAAACUUCGAAUAUUGUUCACACUUGGAUGGAAAUACUGUGCUGGAAUACAUCGAUGGAAUCAAGCGACUAUGAAUCAAGUGCAUUCGAUCUGUACAUUUUUAUUAAGGUAUCUAUUUUUUUUUUUUUUUUUUUUUUUAAAGUCUUCGUCUUAACGCACGAGUUUAUUCCUCUAAAACGAUUCUGUAACGAGGAAAAACGUGUUACCACCGUGCCUAUAUUUUAAAAUGAUUCUACGUGAAAAUUCAAAUAUUACCUUUUAUUUUAUUUGUAUAAAUCUACAUCUCGCAGUCGCAGGGUUCUCCAGAGAUUUUCUCUAAAUUAUUUGAAUUAUUUCGUUUUCGUAAAUCGUGCCCUGUACUUGUCGAUUACUCGCAAUUUAAUAUUUCCAAUGUGUACCUUUGUGUUCCCGACUAUUCUAAUCUCGUGUUUAUAUUUAAGUUGAAUCGACUUAUGUGUGUAUUAUGAGAGUGUGUGUAUGUGUGUUUAUACGCGUGUUUAUAUCGUAAACGCAAUAUAUUAAGGCCUCUUAGUUACUAACGACAGGUCGUCACGUUUUCAUCCUCCGAGCUACGACGCUACGACGAUACGAAGAUGGCGACAGAAUUACUUCCCGCUUCUCUUCCAUCAGAAACUUCCUUUCUUCGUUAAAAAAAAAGGAGAAAAAAAAAAUUGUAUUCCAACGUAUGUACACGCGAAAUUCGAAAAGUGCUUGGCUUUAUGUAUAUAAUACUCGUAUCUGGGGGAGGGGGGCAAAAGACGAUUUUUGCCCGAAAUUUGUCUGCGAGAAAGGACGAGAAACCUGCGUCUCCUCUUGCCUCGUCGCUUGGCUUGCACAGAAAUCUGAUGCAUGUGCGUGUGGAUCAAUCGGAAGGAUCGCGGAGAGAUACACCAGUCGAUUGUUUAAGAUAUUAGAGAAGAGCGCCCUCUGAAAUAUGGAGAUUUAGGACUCCCUCUUCAUAGUGAUCUUGAGUAACCUGACCAAGUCUUUUAGAAGGAACUAUAAAAGGUGUCUUAAGUACAGUCUAAUCCCUAUCUUAAUUCGUCCUAAAUUUCUCUACUACAUGUGGCUCACUGUCAUCGCGGGAUUAGAUAACAGACAGGAUUCUUGGCAGUAUUUGGUACAACAUUCUCGAAAUGGAAUUAUUGGUAUUAUCGACUGGCUCUGUCUCUCCUCCUCGUAGUAGAGACGAAAGGUGAUUAAAAGCAAAGCUGAAUUGAACUCAAUGCGGUGAUUGCUGUGUCGAAGGAAACGUGAAAGAAACAGUGCGCAUUAAAAACCUGUGAAAGAAACGUUGCAGAGUAGUAGUCAGUGCUUGGAAGGUAGAACUGAAAAUAUAAAAAAAAAUAGACGAAGAGAAAAAAAAAAUGGUGAAGGAGAUGAAUAAUAAUUAAAAAAAAAAAAAAAAGUCGACGUGCCAAAUCGGAGACAAGAGAACCACCGUUUGCAAACGUCUUCUUUUCCUUGUUUUUUUUUAAAUCUUUUUUUUUUUUUUCUUUUAAAUCCGUAGCAACUUUAUUGGUGCAUCACGCGCCAGCCACUUUCCAUAAUGAAGGCAUAUUCGCUAGUGAGGAGUAUACGUGGAUUUUCUUUUUUGUCGCUUAAUUAGUCAUUAUCUAAUAACAUAGGUACCUUACGACUUAUGCAUUUAUCACCUAGCCUCCAGUUAUUAUUUCUUUUUUUUUUUUUUUUAUAUUCCACGGGUUCCCAAUUUACACGAGAACCAACAAAAUGCACACGUUUCAAGUGUGAUCAAUUUUCCAAAAAAAAAAAAAAAAAAAAAAAAAAAAAAAAANAAAAUAUGUUCCUUCUUAUGUAUAUAUGUAUGUACGUCUAUGUGUGUACAUAUACGCGUGUGCAACAACACGAAGAGAGUGUGCUCGAUAUCCAUAAUUCUCUCUGUCGCGUGUUCUCAAUUUUUUGAAAUUUUUCUUUAUAUUCUUCUUCUUCUUUUUUUCUUCUUCGUUUGCUACUUCAUUGUCGCCUCGUUCUUCCUUUAUCCCGAGGUUGUGUUAUAUCGUUAAAUGCCCAACUGACCAGCUACAGUGAGCUACAAUUAUUUACAAAUCUUGUUAAGUAAACAUUUCUACAGUGUUAUCUGUAUUUUUUCUUUUUCUUUUUCUUUUUUCUUCUCUCUGAUUUAAUAGGAAACAUUAAUUUUCGCUCGAUUUCGCACUCAUUCCAAUUUUUUUUUUUUUUUUUUCACUCGUUUCUACCACACGCAUACACAUUUUCCCACUCGUACAUUCUCCCUUCGUUUCUCUCCCCGAGAUUUUCCAUCUCUCCUUUCGUCCCCCUAGGCUUUUAUUAAUUAAUUAAAUCGAGAAUCGGACCGCGUUGCGAAACUUGGACGAAAUCGUGGCGUUUCCUCUUAUCUUUCAGAAAGAGUUAUGGUAAAUAAGUUCUCUUUCUUUCUUUUCUUUUCUUUCGUUUUUCUCCCCCUCGUUUCUCUCGCACUUGCAUCCCAAUUUUUAUUGUUCGACGAGACCAACACACACGAUUCAUUGGAAAUCAAUCCGUGGAUCGAAUCUUCGACGAAAUGUGCAAAAAGGCUGUUAAAAGGUUAAAACAAACAAGUCGAAGCGUAAAAGUUGGCGAUAAAAUUUUAGAAGAAUUUUUGACAAUUGCUGUUGCGGGAAUCAUGAUUAAAAAAAGAAGGAAAAGAUUACUUCUACUUUAAAAAGUUGAGAUUUAAAUUUACACAGUGAAAACGAUUCGAUAUUGUUUGUCAAUUGAAGAAUUUAACCUGUUAACGGGCUAUUCUUCAAAUUCUUCUAUAAUAAUGAAAAUAAAAAUUGUUCUAGAAUUAUUCAUUUUAAUUGGAUCGAUUUUGAUAUUUAAAAAUAUAUAAAAAUGGAAUAAUUCAAUCUUGAUGGAAAUUAUAUACGACAUUUAUUAUAGAAGAAGUGAAGAAAUUGUUCGCGAUAAAAACAAUCCUCGUUCAAAAGAUUUCACGAUAUUUUUCAUUUCUAUUACACAGGAUAGUUUUUCAGCAAUAUAAUUAAAGAUAUGAUAUUUACAAUAUAUCCAAAUAUUGUAAAUAUACAUAAUAUUAUGUGACAAUACACAUUUUAUUACCCAUUAAUUUUAUUGAGGAAAAACUAACGAUAAUAUAAAUAUUUUUCUCUUUUGGAAAAAUAAGAAAGUCGGAGAAAGGAUUGUUUUUGACGCGACGAAAUAGCAAAUUCAAGCGACUAAUUAACUCGUUUCACUCUAUUAAAAGAUUAUAUAUAAUCAUCAGUCUCGACGAAGCAUAAAAUUAUAGAAUACAGCCGGAAAAGUCGAAGUGGAAACAGCCUUAUCCGUCCAAGUAUCCGUGGUACGAGGGCUCUGUUCAAUUUUCAUUGUUUCUAAUUAAGGCGACAGCGUUUCGUGUUUCGUGCUGGAUCGAUAUACGCAAUAAUUUCACUUUCGUUCGAUCGACGAAAGGGCGGAAUUCAUUUACAGAGCGACGAAAAUUAUUUUACGCAUCUUAUCGAUCGCCUGUGAUUAGACACGAUGAAAAUUUCGAUCAAUUAUUAUUAUUAUUAUUAUUAUUAUUAUUAUUUUAUGCGACGCUGUUCGCGUUUGCUUCGGUGCUAGUUGAUUCGAUUCAUGAGCUAUUUUGCGUAUUAUAUUUAUGUAUGUACACGGUGAACGCGAUGACGUAUUUACAAAUGACGAGGAGAAACGCUUCACAGCUAGCCGAAAACGGGCAUAAGACCGGCAUUGUUUUUUAAAUUGUACAAAAGAAAAAAAAAAAAAAAAAAAAAA